AACGAACGCUGGCGGCAGGCUUAACACAUGCAAGUCGAACGCAUCCUUCGGGGUGAGUGGCAGACGGGUGAGUAACGCGUGGGAACGUGCCCUUCCGUUCGGGAUAACCCAGGGAAACUUGGGCUAAUACCGGAUACGUGCGGGAGCAGAAAGAUUUAUCGCUGAAGGAUCGGCCCGCGUCUGAUUAGCUAGUUGGUGGGGUAAUGGCCCACCAAGGCGACGAUCAGUAGCUGGUCUGAGAGGAUGAUCAGCCACAUUGGGACUGAGACACGGCCCAAACUCCUACGGGAGGCAGCAGUGGGGAAUAUUGGACAAUGGGCGCAAGCCUGAUCCAGCCAUGCCGCGUGAGUGAUGAAGGCCUUAGGGUUGUAAAGCUCUUUCGUCCGGGACGAUAAUGACGGUACCGGAAGAAGAAGCCCCGGCUAACUUCGUGCCAGCAGCCGCCGUAA
rnacentral:rRNA from 1 species